rnacentral:rRNA from 1 species
UACGGGGGGGGUAAGCGUUGUUCGGAAUUACUGGGCGUAAAGAGCUCGUAGGCGGCCUGUCGCGUCGGAUGUGAAAGCCCGGGGCUUAACCCCGGGGUCUGCAUUCGAUACGGGCAGGCUGGAGUGUGGUAGGGGAGAUCGGAAUUCCUGGUGUAGCGGUGAAAUGCGCAGAUAUCAGGAGGAACACCGGUGGCGAAGGCGGAUCUCUGGGCCAUUACUGACGCUGAGGAGCGAAAGCGUGGGGAGC